GACCAAGGAGUCUAACAUGUUCGCGAGUCACUGGGACUCUUCUAAACCCAGAGGCGAAGUGAAAGCGGGAGAGCCUCCGUGCUCUCUUGGGAGGAUGGCCGCCUCCUCCGCCCUCGCGGUGGAGGGGGGGCCCGCACUCCCGGGGCGCCUCGGCCUCCUGGCUAAGGCGCACCCGGAGCGUACACGUUGGGACCCGAAAGAUGGUGAACUAUGCCUGGUCAGGACGAAGUCAGGGGAAACCCUGAUGGAGGUCCGCAGCGAUUCUGACGUGCAAAUCGAUCGUCAGAGCUGGGUAUAGGGGCGAAAGACUAAUCGAACCAUCUAGUAGCUGGUUCCCUCCGAAGUUUCCCUCAGGAUAGCUGGCGUCCAUUUCGACCGGGACGAGUCUCAUCCGGUAAAGCGAAUGAUUAGAGGCCUUGGGGCCGAAACGACCUCAACCUAUUCUCAAACUUUAAAUGGGUGAGAUCUCCGGCUUGCUUGACUGAAGCCGCGAGGUCUGGAUCAGGGUGCCAAGUGGGCCAUUUUU
rnacentral:rRNA from 1 species